UUAGAGAAUUUCAUUUAUAUUGUCUCUUCCAAAUAAUGCCAUCAUACGAAAUAGAUUGCACCUUCAAAUAAAUCAUCUUGGCUAAGACUUAGAACUCCAACAUUUCUUCGAAACCUCGACUUCUAUCUACUCAUGUUGAUAUCUUCUAAAUUGAGCGUCCAAACAUGUUUUGGGAGGAAAAAACUCAAUUUGUCAACUUGACGAUAUUAUACAUAUAUAUAGUUUUUUUAAAUGUCCAAUUCCAUUUUGUAACUAUGUCCCCAUUAUUCAAUGUACAACAAAACAAAUCAUUGCUUUUAGAUGUGGCCACUAACCACUUUCACUAACAAUCAAAGAUUAAUUUUUGGUGCUAAAGUGCUGCGUAAGCACCCUUCCAUUAUC
rnacentral:sRNA from 1 species